CGAGCGGGGAGAUGUAGCUUGCUACCUGACCUAGCGGCGGACGGGUGAGUAAUGCUUAGGAAUCUGCCUAUUAGUGGGGGACAACAUUCCGAAAGGAAUGCUAAUACCGCAUACGCCCUACGGGGGAAAGCAGGGGAUCUUCGGACCUUGCGCUAAUAGAUGAGCCUAAGUCGGAUUAGCUAGUUGGUGGGGUAAAGGCCUACCAAGGCGACGAUCUGUAGCGGGUCUGAGAGGAUGAUCCGCCACACUGGGACUGAGACACGGCCCAGACUCCUACGGGAGGCAGCAGUGGGGAAUAUUGGACAAUGGGCGCAAGCCUGAUCCAGCCAUGCCGCGUGUGUGAAGAAGGCCUUUUGGUUGUAAAGCACUUUAAGCGAGGAGGAGGCUCCUUUAGUUAAUACCUAAAGUGAGUGGACGUUACUCGCAGAAUAAGCACCGGCUAACUCUGUGCCAGCAGCCGCGGUAAUACAGAGGGUGCGAGCGUUAAUCGGAUUUACUGGGCGUAAAGCGUGCGUAGGCGGCUUUUUAAGUCGGAUGUGAAAUCCCUGAGCUUAACUUAGGAAUUGCAUUCGAUACUGGAAAGCUAGAGUAUGGGAGAGGAUGGUAGAAUUCCAGGUGUAGCGGUGAAAUGCGUAGAGAUCUGGAGGAAUACCGAUGGCGAAGGCAGCCAUCUGGCCUAAUACUGACGCUGAGGUACGAAAGCAUGGGGAGCAAACAGGAUUAGAUACCCUGGUUAGUCCAUGCCGUAAACGAUGUCUACUAGCCGUUGGGGCCUUUGAUGCUUUAGUGGCGCAGCUAACGCGAUAAGUAGACCGGCUGGGGAGUACGGUCGCAGGACUAAAACUUCAAUGAAUUGGACGGUGGGCCCGCACAGGCGGGG
rnacentral:rRNA from 1 species